rnacentral:rRNA from 1 species
UACGAAGGGGGCUAGCGUUGCUCGGAAUCACUGGGCGUAAAGGGCGCGUAGGCGGCGUUUUAAGUCGGGGGUGAAAGCCUGUGGCUCAACCACAGAAUGGCCUUCGAUACUGGGACGCUUGAGUAUGGUAGAGGUUGGUGGAACUGCGAGUGUAGAGGUGAAAUUCGUAGAUAUUCGCAAGAGCACCGGUGGCGAAGGCGGCCAACUGGACCAUUACCGACGCUGAGGCGCGAAAGCGUGGGGAGCAAACAGG